rnacentral:rRNA from 1 species
GACGAACGCUGGCGGCGUGCUUAACACAUGCAAGUCGAACGGUGAAGCGCUUUCCUUUUUGGUUGGUGUGGAUGAGUGGCGAACGGGUGAGUAACACGUGAGUAACCUGCCCCCUUCUUCUGGAUAACCGCAUGAAAGUGUGGCUAAUACGGGAUAUUCUGCGCCUGCUGCAUGGUGGGUGUGGGAAAGAUUGUGCCUUUGGGUGUUUUCGGUGGGGGAUGGGCUCGCGGCCUAUCAGCUUGUUGGUGGGGUGAUGGCCUACCAAGGCGGUGACGGGUAGCCGGCCUGAGAGGGUGGACGGUCACACUGGGACUGAGACACGGCCCAGACUCCUACGGGAGGCAGCAGUGGGGAAUAUUGCACAAUGGGCGCAAGCCUGAUGCAGCGACGCCGCGUGAGGGAUGCAGGCCUUCGGGUUGUGAACCUCUUUCGCCAGUGAAGCAGGCCUGCUCCUUGUGGGUGGGUUGACGGUAGCUGGAUAAGAAGCGCCGGCUAACUACGUG